UACACGGUGGAGGUUUGCACUCAGUGACGAGCCCAUGACAGAAGAUGGUUCAGGAAAGUCCGCUGCAGUGGGUUUGCUGCUGGUGUGCCCUUGACCUUUCCUCGGCCGGGCACAGAAGCCCUGGGGCCUUUCUCUCUUCAGUGCCUAAGUGUAUACCCUGUGCCAGCUGUGCAACCCCUGCCGUCUGGGUCAGUUGGGUGUCAGGACUAAUGGGUGCUAGCCUCGAGUGUCUGGCCCCCAGCCGGUACCCGGAAUCCGGCGUGCGCCUCUAAGUGGAGAACAGGGUGCCGGCUCUGCACUGCGGGUGCCUGGAGGAGCCAUGUGGGAGGCUGCAGGUGCCCCCUUUUGGUGGCGCCGGGUCUGGACUCGGGCAGGAACUUCGGCUUGAGAGGAGACCUGGGCUGGUCCCCUGCGGGUGGGGGUCUGCCGGCCCACAGACCUGCGUCCUCGGGUGGCCUUCCUCUCCCAGCAGCUCUCUAGCGCCUCCGGGGGCCCGCUCGGUGCUGGCAUAUAGGGUUAGACUGACCAGCUUUGAAACCACCGGGCUGUCCUGUUGUGCGUCAGUGUCCGUGUUGUCCUGUCCCCACCCCCAUCACAAAGGAGAAAAGCAGCGUCCUUUCCUUCAGCUGUUGGGCUGCCCCUGCAGCUGGGACGGGGCUCGGGUCUCUGGCCCCUGCAGAGGGGUGGCAGUUGCCUGGAGACGAGCUGGGACUUCUAGAGAUGAGUUGGAGUGGGCGUGGCUGGCACUGGUCCCCGUCCACGCCUGGUCAGUGUUCUGUGGCCCAUAUGGCACGCAGCAUGGCUGCCAGUCCCCGUGGCGCCCAGGGGUCCUAGAAAGGUCACUGAAUUUGGCACCUUGGCUGAAACCUGCAGCCUCCUCGCUAACACUUCAGACGGCAGGCGCCAAGUUCUUCCUUUCUCCAAGGCUCGGCGUGCCGGCCCCGGGUGAGAGAGAGGGGACAGGCUCUGCUGCUGCACCCCGCUCCCUGCCGCAGGCGGAGGACAGUGGCUGGCCCUGUUGGGCACGAACCCCCAUCAUGGCGUCCUGGUGACAGCUGUCUUCAGGCCCAAACCCCGCACCCCAGAGCCAGGGCGGCCUCCAAAACGUGACUCGGGCCGUGUUUCCAGGCCCCGAGGAUCGCCACACAGUAACCAGCAGAGGGGAAAACGCUCCAGGCUGACGUCUCUUGCAGGCACUGCCGCAAAAAUAGGGUCACUGCUGCGUCCCAAGGUGUCUGCCUGUGCCUGUGGGGGAGUCGGUCCUGCUUCCCAAAGAGGCUGCACCAGCGCGGGUGCACGUCGCUGCUGGAGGACCUCACUGCCUUGACCCUUGACUUCCAGCCUGGCUGGUGGGGCCCGGCCGUGCCCGCGGCGCUUGGGGUCCGCCUGCCGACUGCUGUGGGGACUGAACACCCUCGUGUGUGUGUGUGGCCGCGGCCCUCGCUCUUUGGCGAAAUGCCUUUGGAAUUGCUACAGGUUUUUUGUACUUAUUUUAUGUAGAACUUUAAAAAAUAGCUGAGGAAGUUAAACUGCAACAAAGCAUCCGCUUUGUCUUUUUAACAGUGAGGCUUUUUCCUGCGCAUUUUUCCAUUUGGUUUUUCUUCAUUGUCCUGUUCUUUAGGAAUUUCUUAGUGACAAGGGUGAGCCUGUCACUAAGCAUGAGCCUGCCGCCUGUUAGGUUUUGUACUCAGAGGUUUCCUCUUUCUGGCUAAUACACAGAGGUUUUCGAUUUCGGCAGGGUCGGAUAUUGAUUGUUGGAGGAAAAUUUCCUACUUAGGAAAAACAUGUGCUGUGUUCCCCAAGAUCAUUGUUUUGUCCUUCACCCGCAGGUCUGUCGUGCACGUGAGCUGGCUUUGGUGUGCAGCUGGGGGGCGGUCUGCAAUGCUCUCAGGGAAGUCGGUGCUCCCUGGGGUGGCUUUGCAAGUCCCUGUGGAUUUGUCCCCAGGUCGGAGCCAGUUUGGGUUCUGUUGAAAAAUGGCAUUUUAACGUUUGCUUUUUAUCUGAGUGAGAACGGUGACCUUGGCUCAUUCCAAACCUGAGAGACUCUGUGUAUGUUACGGCUUCGGCUACGGGGUGUUGGUUUCUCCCUUCAUCCUGGGACAUUCCCCUCUGUCUCCCAUGUGACUUGGGUUCAUCUGGGUUGACUUGGGAGCCUGCCGUCUGGCGACGACUUCCUCCCUUUCUCUUGUUGGCCUGGGGAUCCAUCAGUUCAGCAUCGCCCUCACGCCAUCCUCCUUACGUGUCGCUAGGUUCCCCAGGGCCCUGGAAAGCCAGGCACCAUCCGUAGGAGAAGGGCUCGUCCUCCCCACCGUGCAGCGGCCCGUGCAGCACGUGUCAGCGCUGGCAGGUGCUGUGAGGCUCCCCUGUGCUUCAGAGCCCGAAGGGGACUGGCCUAGGGUCAGUGUGUUGAGGCAGCUGCAGCACCGGGCACCCCUGCAUCUGACUGACCGCUUAGCCUGGGUUGGGUCCCCAGCCAAGAGAGAGGGACUCUGGGCCAGCUCGAUGCCCUUCUGACUUUGCGGCCCAGGCAGGGGCUGCUGAGUGGCUGUCAUCUGUUUUGGCAUUGGUGUCUUCAUAUCCUCCCAGCCAGCGGGGAGGCUGCAAGUUUAUGCCACCCCUGCUCACUGAUAUGCUCCUGCCUGCAGUCCGCACUCCUGAAGCCCUGGGGCUUGGCCCGGCCCGUGUCCUGCCAGCUGAGCACCGAGCUGCCCAUGGGGCCGCAGCCUGGAGCAGGGCGUCUCAGAGCCCUGUGGUCACAGCACCAUCCGUGGGUGUAGGGAGGGUGUGGCACGGCCGAGCCCAGGCACCAUUCUUUUCUGCUCUCUUCUUCGAGCUGUCCUGUUAAAGGUGGGGACAGCCCGUCAUCCCUGGUGAGGGGGGCUCUCCAGUCACUGAGUGUGGAGCUCCAGCAUGUGCCAGGUCUGUGGGGACCAGUCUGCAUGCUGCAGGGGCUGGUGGCGCAGCCCCCUCUCUGAGCUCCCACUUGGCCCUGCCCCGUCGGCCCAUCUCCCAGGCCUCACACGGACCGUGCCUCUGCCCACCCAUGCUUGUCUGCUAGUAAACAUGACCCUGAUGGCUGUCCCCCAACCUUGUGACAAUUUCACCGUCACACUCGGCAGCCCCACGUGUGGGCUUCGUGCUGCCGCUUCCUGGGACGGCCAGUUGUGCCCGUCGGGGUUACACCAAGUCCACUCUACUUGUUCCGAAGCAGAAUUGGGUGUUAUCCAUGGCAGCAGGCACCUCCUGUGGAAAGGUGGGGGAGUGACCCUCAUUGUCUCAGCCUUGACCCAGUGUGGGGGCUGCUGGCCCAGGUCAGCCAAGGAGAGGGCAGUCAGCUUUCCCAAGGGACUGGGCCCACAACAUGCCGAGAAUGUGUCUAUGGCGGGUCCCAAAGACACAAGGCCGCGAAUUCGAGAGAGCUGUGACCUGGUUGGAGACCACUGUAGCAGAAUGGGUCUGGGUGGAAGUUCUGUGGGCCUCCAGGGUGCAGAACUGUAUCCGCCUCGGUGCUGCGGGCUGCUCUCAGCCAGCCCUGCACACCUCCUGUGCGCUGGCUGUUCUUACUGCCGUCUGAGCACGGGGGCCCUCCGCCCUCUCGGCGCCCCGUCCUUGGUGGUAGCCACCUGCAGUCAGGUUCUUGUCAUUGGCAACUGUGGAGCUGGUCUUGGGCUCUGUGUGCCUGGUGCCCUGGGGUCUGGGCCUUGUCUCCCUUCGUCCUCACAGCAGCACGGUGGGCAGGGGCCACUGGGGACUCUGUCCUCAGCAGAGGAAGCUGGCGGCUCCCGAGGGUGCAUGGUCAUCCCUGGUCAUGUGGCAGCAGCCCCUCAGCUCCCCGGGGGUUUUGCAUGUGAAAUAAGUGCUUUGUCAUUUCCGUGUCCAAAAGAUGCAGCAUGUUUUACAUCACACUGAUUCUGUCUUUUCUUCUCCUUUUUCAAAGAUCGUAGACGGUGAGUAGUCUCCCUUUCCUGGGUUUGGAUGGCCAGCCGGCGUGCGAAAGGAGGCGGCCACGGAGGACCGCCAGGCGGCCGCGCCAGGACCACGCCGACAGCUGUGUGGUGAGCAGUGAUGACGAGGAGCCCUCCAG